AACGUGCCCUUCUCUAUGGAAUAGCCACUGGAAACGGUGAGUAAUACCAUAUACGCCCUUCGGGGGAAAGAUUUAUCGGAGAAGGAUCGGCCCGCGUUAGAUUAGGUAGUUGGUGGGGUAAUGGCCUACCAAGCCUACGAUCUAUAGCUGGUUUUAGAGGAUGAUCAGCCACACUGGGACUGAGACACGGCCCAGACUCCUACGGGAGGCAGCAGUGGGGAAUCUUAGACAAUGGGCGCAAGCCUGAUCUAGCCAUGCCGCGUGAGUGAUGAAGGCCUUAGGGUCGUAAAGCUCUUUCGCCAGAGAUGAUAAUGACAGUAUCUGGUAAAGAAACCCCGGCUAACUCCGUGCCAGCAGCCGCGGUAAUACGGAGGGGGUUAGCGUUGUUCGGAAUUACUGGGCGUAAAGCGCACGUAGGCGGAUUAGAAAGUUGGGGGUGAAAUCCCGGGGCUCAACCUCGGAACGGCCUCCAAAACUCCUAGUCUAGAGUUCGAGAGAGGUGAGUGGAAUUCCAAGUGUAGAGGUGAAAUUCGUAGAUAUUUGGAGGAACACCAGUGGCGAAGGCGGCUCACUGGCUCGAUACUGACGCUGAGGUGCGAAAGUGUGGGGAGCAAACAGGAUUAGAUACCCUGGUAG
rnacentral:rRNA from 1 species